UAGAGGCUAAAUAAAAGUGUUCCUUCUACCCUAAACCAUGUUGGUUUUUUUUCUAUAGAAAAAACAGCUCCAAAGAAGCAGCUGAAAGAGCGCAAAGAAAAAGCAACUCACACACCAAAAGUAAUGAAAGAUUUUGAUGAAGUGCCAUCUUCAAAGAAAGCCAAAGGUGAGCUUGUCACAGCCAGUUUGCUUCUAAGCUGUUCUCAGUGAAGUUUGUUA
rnacentral:lncRNA from 1 species